CCGAAAUCUCCAGUGGGACGGAUUCCCCAUUCUGGAUCAUAAUUUAGAGAGCAGCUGUACUGAUUGGGACAUUUGUUACCAGGAUUUUAGGUCACCGCGAUACAAAGAAGGCAACUGUCAUUUUGGAGGUUUGGUUUCUAAAUAUCAAUGCAGAGAUGUGACCAGGAAAUUGAUGGACUUGUCAGGACUCAAACCGUGGCAGAACAAGAAUGAAUAUCUAGUAGUGGAGUUUAAAAUAAAACUUUAAAAGGGAUGGAGACCAUGCUGAGGGGCAGCGUUUGUCCCUAUCUGUGCAGGAAGGGCAGUGUGCCUACCUCUAUGCUGAAGAGGCAGAACACGACUGGUCCUCUGUCACUGGAGUGUCACCACCCCGGGGCUGCCUAGUCUGAGGCUGCUGUGACCAGCUGCAGGCAAGGAGGGACAGCACACACGUCUCAGCAGGCAGACAGCAGCAAGGUCACUGGCGCAGGGUGGUGUUUGUCCCCGUGCCUGGGGAGAGAGACCCCGUCUCUGUGUGUUUGCAGGGUAAGAGGGAAAGGAGGAUCUUCUGCCUUCCCUUUCUGCAGCACAAGUGCCUGGACAGAAAGCUGAGUUGCUGCAUCUGGCCUCAGCCAGGCCCAGAGCCCCCGGAGCCCACAGGGGCCUUCGUUGCUCAAAUGGGAUUGUGAACAAGGCCUGGAGUGCCAGAGGAGUGACUGCACUGAGGAGGCUGACAGGUUUUCAGGUUUCCUUCUCUGACCUGCUGCUGUGUCCUGUGACUGUAACAACAGAUAGAAAGGUCUCAAACCAUUUCAUGGGGCUGGAGGGGGCAGUCUGGCCAAGAAAAACAUACAUUUCUUCCCACAGCAGAAACCGCCAGCCUCUGAGAUGGGCUCUUCUGGCUCACUCUGGUGCUGUUCUUCAAGGCAAGUGUUACAUCUGCUCUGUGCCACCAGCAUGUUUGCAGGGAGCUGGGGCAGCUGUGGCCUCUGGGAAGAGAGGGCACCCAUCCUCAGCGUGCAGCAGAGAGCAGUACAACAGUAUGUGAGUCAGAACCUACAAGUCCAUCAUACCAGGCACACUGCAAACUGCCCUAAGUGUCUCAUAGUAGAUUUUGUUCAGAUCAAGCUCAGAUAAUUCAGUCAUAAGGAGUCUUCCAUGCCCACCGUUCUAGGAUUUUCUGGCAUUUGACCCUCUUUAGUUAGUUUAUUUGAAAGGAAAAUACUGCUUAAAAACUAAAAACUGGAAACUUUUGACAAUCCCAGCAAUUUUCUCACUUUUUGACAAACUGCUCAAAUUGACUAAAUUCUCAAAUAUUUCUGUUGUCCUAAACAAUAUAUAUAUACACAUAUUUAUAUAUAUUUUUUCUGGAAGAUGAGCUAUAAAAAUCAUUUGCUAUUCUACUUUUCAAAAUAUUUCGCAUUUGUAUAAAUUCAGUUAAUAACUACACAGCAUUAAGGGAUAUGAUGUACUGCUCCCCAUUGAAAAUGGACACAGGUUAUCAUGUAACCCAGUUCAGAUCUUGUGCAUAUUGUAUGGCUGAGCACAGUGCUAUAGCAAGGAAAAUGAGUUUCUAUCCUGUUUACUGUUUGUGGCAUGGGACCAAGUUGUUUCUCUGAACUGAAGAACACUCCAGCAAACACUGUUUCUCAGUUUCAGAAUUUGACUAAACCCUAAUUCUGUUGCCAUCAAGAUUUAAACAAAUGGUGUAGAGAUACCUAAGGGAGCAAGUGAUUUUAUGUCUGCUAUAAGACAGUAUUAAAGAGUCAAAAUAGUCCAUUAGAAGCAGAUGUACCUGUACCUCCUUCUGGCCAGCUAUGAGUUCCACCUUUGAAGAACUAUUUCUGUUGUUUUUGAACCAAAGAAAGGAAUAAAACUAUUUCAAAAGGCCAUAAAGCCUGCUAAGAUGAAUGUGAGGGGCCCAGUAGAAUCAUUUUCCAGUUCAAUGUAGGUUUAUUAAAACUAUUUGGAGCAAGUAAAGCAGUUCAAGAGAGAGUGAUCCAGCAAAGUGUGGUGGGGCCUGAGAGUGGAAGCGUUUUUGUCUCAUCACUGAUCUCUAGCACCUUUCUUUUCUGGUCUCAUAUCUUGAUUUGUCUAAUUUGUAUAUUUAGACUGGGAACUCCAUAGCUGAAACUAUUCUGUCCUACAUAAGCAACAUGUGUAUUCAGUUUCGGGGGUAAUAAGAACAGGACUAUUUCUAUGGAAUACGUAUGUACAAGGGGAGACCUACUGAUUUUGAAAGCUUCUGGUGAAAAAUGCUUGUGUGAGCACAAAAGUUCAAAGCGAGGCUAUUAUUAUUCCAUUUCCAUAUGAAUGAUCUAAACAAUUUGUGUCUGGGUUUAAUAUGCAGCUACUAAAACCAGAGUUCGUAUUAUGGCCAGAUGGAAUAGGCAAAGGAUGUGAUAGCCACUGUGAAAUCUGGCUGCUUCUUGGUGAACCUCACUGGGUUAGGUCUCUCCUUCCACUUCUGAGCUACUUCUAUAGGAGGCUGAGGAAGAUGUGGUGGGGGCUUCCCCUGUGCCCAUCUGCAUAGUCAGUGCCAGUAACAAUGCUGUUACACAUUCUUGUCUCAGGUACCCAGAUACACUUGUAGCUUCAAUUUGAACUAAAAAGAGGUGAACGAUAAGCCAACAUUCCUCCUCACCUGUCCUGCAGAAAAGCCCUGGGAUACAGCUUAGCCUGAAGCUUUCACUAGCACAACCCAAAACCUCCUGAGUAGAGUUCGAAGAACAAAAGCCUCCUUGUGCACAGCUGAUACUCUUCCACCUGUCCUGCCCCAUGGAGCCAGAACAAGGCAAUAGAAGUCUCAAGAAAGACUUUCUUACCAUCAGCUGUUCAAAACAUCUGUAACCUAGCAGUGUACUUUCUUUAUUAUUGUUCUUUAUUUCAGAAAGUGCAUUUUUUUCACAUUUUUCAUACUGCUGUCCAUACAAUAAUUUGGAAACUAGAGCAGGUAGAACAGCUUUUUAAACAAAACCUCUCAUUUUGUCAAGAAUGCAGCUUUAUACAAAUAAAGUAGAUUAAGA
rnacentral:lncRNA from 1 species